ACGGCUCAGUAACACGUGGGUAACCUGCCUUACACAGGGGGAUAGCCUUCCGAAAGGAAGAUUAAUACCGCAUAAGAAGUAGAUAUCACAUGGUAUCAGCUUUAAAGGAGUAAUCCGGUGUAAGAUGGACCCGCGGCGCAUUAGCUAGUUGGUGAGGUAAUGGCUCACCAAGGCGACGAUGCGUAGCCGACCUGAGAGGGUGAUCGGCCACAUUGGAACUGAGAGACGGUCCAGACUCCUACGGGAGGCAGCAGUGGGGAAUAUUGCACAAUGGAGGAAACUCUGAUGCAGCAACGCCGCGUGAGUGACGAAGGCCUUCGGGUUGUAAAGCUCUGUCAUCUGGGACGAUAAUGACGGUACCAGAGGAGGAAGCCACGGCUAACUACGUGCCAGCAGCCGCGGUAAUACGUAGGUGGCGAGCGUUGUCCGGAAUUACUGGGCGUAAAGGAUGCGUAGGUGGGAAUUUAAGUCAGAUGUGAAAUACCCGAGCUUAACUUGGGCACUGCAUUUGAAACUGAAUUUCUUGAGUGCAGGAGAGGAAAGCGGAAUUCCUAGUGUAGCGGUGAAAUGCGUAGAGAUUAGGAAGAACACCAGUGGCGAAGGCGGCUUUCUGGACUGUAACUGACACUGAGGCAUGAAAGCGUGGGGAGCAAACAGGAUUAGAUACCCUGGUAGUCCACGCUGUAAACGAUGGGUACUAGGUGUGGGAGGUAUCGACUCCUUCCGUGCCGCAGUUAACACAAUAAGUACCCCGCCUGGGGAGUACGAUCGCAAGAUUAAAACUCAAAGGAAUUGGCGGGGGAGCAC
rnacentral:rRNA from 1 species